UAUGUGAUCGUCUCUCGCAUAUCAAUAAGCGGAGGAAAAGAAACUAACAAGGAUUCCCCUAGUAACGGCGAGUGAAGCGGGAAGAGCUCAAAUUUGAAAUCUUAAAGGGUUUCCCUUUACGAAUUGUAGUUUAAAGAAGUGUUUUCUGUUGAGGUUUUGGUAAAAGUUCUCUGGAAUAGGACAUCAUAGAGGGUGAGAAUCCCGUAUUUGACCUUUACUUUCAACUUUGUGAUACACUUUCAAAGAGUCGGAUUGUUUGGGAAUGCAGUCCAAAAUGGGUGGUAAAUUUCAUCUAAAGCUAAAUAUUGGCGAGAGACCGAUAGCGAACAAGUACCGUGAGGGAAAGAUGAAAAGAACUUUGAAAAGAGAGUUAAACAGUACGUGAAAUUGUCAAAAGGGAAGCGUUUGACACCAGUGUUGUUUUUCUGAAAAUCAAUUAAAGAACUGUUUAUGCUAAGCUGUUUAGACUUUAUCAGCUAUCUGUUUAGUUUUGAGCUUUUCUUUAAUGCACUUUUCAGUUAACAAGUCAACAUCAAUUUCUUUUGCUGUAAAAAAGCUUGAGGAAGGUGGCUUGAGAUUCGUCUUAAGUGUUUAUAGCCUCUUGCCUAUGCAGUCGGAGAGAUUGAGGUCUGCAGCGUAGAUCCUUCGGGGCUAAAUGCAUUUGUGCUAAGUUAUAGCAUUUCAUAGACAACUUGUUGACUAUGAUUUGUCUUGUAGCUUACUCGCUUAUGUUAUUUUACCUACGCUUAGGAUGUUGAAGACUCUACAGAGAU
rnacentral:rRNA from 1 species